CCUACGGGUGGCUGCAGUGGGGAAUAUUGGGCAAUGGGCGCAAGCCUGACCCAGCAAUGCCGCGUGAAGGAAGAAGGCUUUCGGGUUGUAAACUUCUUUGACAGGGGAAGAGCAGAAGACGGUACCCUGAAAACAAGCCACGGCUAACUACGUGCCAGCAGCCGCGGUAAUACGUAGGUGGCAAGCGUUGUCCGGAAUUACUGGGGUUAAAGGGCGUGUAGCCGGGAAGGCAAGUCAGAGGUGAAAUCUGGAGGCUCAACCUCCAAAUUGCAGUUGAAACUGUUUUUCUUGAGUAGUGGAGAGGCAGACGGAAUGCGUUGUGUAGCGGUGAAAUGCGUAGAUAUAAGGAGGAACACCAGUGGCGAAGGCGGUCUGCUGGACAGCAACUGACGGUGAGGCGCGAAAGCGUGGGGAGCAAACAGGAUUAGAUACCCGGGUAGUC
rnacentral:rRNA from 1 species